GCCAGCCGGUGAGGAAGCAGAAUGUCUGAGCUAUUUGUUGUGUUUCUCAUGUAUUCACAGUGCAACUCCUUUGCUUUUGUCAUCCCUGCCUUGCAGGUCCCUGCGUCCAGCGAUGGGGCAGCAGAGCUCGUUGCACUCGCUGUUCCUUUUUCCUAUGCAUAUACUUCUUUGAGAUAUAACUUUAAAGAGGCAUAAGGCAUGGGAAAAUGGGGCUGCAGAGGUAUUCCACCGAACAGACAGACGUGUCAUCAUGCAAGUAAUAGCUGACCUCAAAGUGAACACACACACACACACACACAAAAUGGCUUGACUUGCACUAAAAGAGGAAAACUGAUUUUCAGUCUGUAAAUUGUUUUUACGCCAGAUCAGGAUUUUAAACUCAUUGUAUUUCUUUGUCAUGACAUGAUGUGAAUGUGGAUCUGUUUCUCUGUGAUAUUUUGGUCUUUUUUUCCUAAAUAAAGACGUUGUUGCUUAAA